rnacentral:sRNA from 1 species
GACCCUUCCCUCGCGGGCCGCUCCCCGCCGCGGACACCACCGCGACCCGGCUGCGACCUCCCGACCCCGGCCGGGCGUCCGGGGCUCCUGCGCACUCACUCGGCAGCCGCGCCCGCUUGCGUCCUCUUGUUCUCUUCCAGCUAUUUAAUUCAGGACGCUCAUCCAGACUUCUGAAGCAAAAAGCCAAUCAGCAUGAAGCUGCUAGCAUAUUGGUUUUGUGAAGGCCUGUCGGGAAGCCUCUGGUUUCUUUUCAUCCCUGAGGACUGAGGAGGAGGCCUCUUCAGGAAGAGCAGUUUAUUUUUAUGAAAGGGAUACUUCCUGAUUUCAAACAUUUGGAACUAAACUGGAACAUAUUUUUCUUUCCGAUUUCUGCGUUUUUGAGGCACCCAAAAAGAAAGGGAAGAAAGGCAAAGCCAAAGGCACCCCGAUUGUCGAUGGGCUUGCUCCAGAGGACAUGAGCAAGGAGCAGCUGUUUAUUUUUAGGUGAAGUUGAGUCCUCCCUCUUUCUUCCUUGCCUUUCUCCGGCCACACGCCCCUUUGCUGUGC